GUGGGGAAUAUUGGACAAUGGGCGAAAGCCUGAUCCAGCCAUGCCGCGUGUGUGAAGAAGGUCUUCGGAUUGUAAAGCACUUUAAGUUGGGAGGAAGGGCAGUAAGUUAAUACCUUGCUGUUUUGACGUUACCGACAGAAUAAGCACCGGCUAACUUCGUGCCAGCAGCCGCGGUAAUACGAAGGGUGCAAGCGUUAAUCGGAAUUACUGGGCGUAAAGCGCGCGUAGGUGGGUUUGUAAGUUGGAGGUGAAAUCACCGGGCUCAACAUGGGAACUACCUCCAAAACUGCAUGACUAGAGUACGGUAGAGGGUAGUGGAAUUUCCUGUGUAGCGGUGAAAUGCGUAGAUAUAGGAAGGAACACCAGUGGCGAAGGCGACUACCUGGACUGAUACUGACACUGAGGUGCGAAAGCGUGGGGAGCAAACAGGAUUAGAAACCCCGGUAGUCC
rnacentral:rRNA from 1 species